GGAGUAUGUGGUUAAUUCGAUGCAACGCGAAGAACCUUACCUGGUCUUGACAUCCCAGAAAUCCCUUGGAAACUUGGAGUGCUUCCAUUAGGAAGAAUCUGGAGACAGGUGCUGCAUGGCUGUCGUCAGCUCGUGUCGUGAGAUGUUGGGUUAAGUCCCGCAACGAGCGCAACCCUUGCCUUUAGUUGCCAGCAGUUCGGCUGGGCACUCUAAAGGGACUGCCGGUGUUAAACCGGAGGAAGGUGGGGAUGACGUCAAGUCCUCAUGGCCUUUAUGACCAGGGCUACACACGUACUACAAUGGCCGAUACAAAGGGCAGCGACAUUGCGAAAUGAAGCCAAUCCCAUAAAUUCGGUCUCAGUCCGGAUUGCAGGCUGCAACUCGCCUGCAUGAAGCCGGAAUCGCUAGUAAUCGCGGAUCAGCAUGCCCGCGGUUCCGAAUACGUUCCGGCCUU
rnacentral:rRNA from 1 species